CUGUGAGCUCGAUGAGUAGGGCGGGACACGUGGUAUCCUGUCUGAAUAUGGGGGGACCAUCCUCCAAGGCUAAAUACUCCUGACUGACCGAUAGUGAACCAGUACCGUGAGGGAAAGGCGAAAAGAACCCCGGCGAGGGGAGUGAAAAAGAACCUGAAACCGUGUACGUACAAGCAGUGGGAGCACAGAGCAAUCUGUGUGACUGCGUACCUUUUGUAUAAUGGGUCAGCGACUUAUAUUCUGUAGCAAGGUUAACCGAAUAGGGGAGCCGAAGGGAAACCGAGUCUUAACUGGGCGUUAAGUUGCAGGGUAUAGACCCGAAACCCGGUGAUCUAGCCAUGGGCAGGUUGAAGGUUGGGUAACACUAACUGGAGGACCGAACCGACUAAUGUUGAAAAAUUAGCGGAUGACUUGUGGCUGGGGGUGAAAGGCCAAUCAAACCGGGAGAUAGCUGGUUCUCCCCGAAAGCUAUUUAGGUAGCGCCUCGUGAAUUCAUCUCCGGGGGUAGAGCACUGUUUCGGCAAGGGGGUCAUCCCGACUUACCAACCCGAUGCAAACUGCGAAUACCGGAGAAUGUUAUCACGGGAGACACACGGCGGGUGCUAACGUCCGUCGUGAAGAGGGAAACAACCCAGACCGCCAGCUAAGGUCCCAAAGUCAUGGUUAAGUGGGAAACGAUGUGGGAAGGCCCAGACAGCCAGGAUGUUGGCUUAGAAGCAGCCAUCAUUUAAAGAAAGCGUAAUAGCUCACUGGUCGAGUCGGCCUGCGCGGAAGAUGUAACGGGGCUAAACCAUGCACCGAAGCUGCGGCAGCGACACUAUGUGUUGUUGGGUAGGGGAGCGUUCUGUAAGCCUGUGAAGGUGUACUGUGAGGUAUGCUGGAGGUAUCAGAAGUGCGAAUGCUGACAUAAGUAACGAUAAAGCGGGUGAAAAGCCCGCUCGCCGGAAGACCAAGGGUUCCUGUCCAACGUUAAUCGGGGCAGGGUGAGUCGACCCCUAAGGCGAGGCCGAAAGGCGUAGUCGAUGGGAAACAGGUUAAUAUUCCUGUACUUGGUGUUACUGCGAAGGGGGGACGGAGAAGGCUAUGUUGGCCGGGCGACGGUUGUCCCGGUUUAAGCGUGUAGGCUGGUUUUCCAGGCAAAUCCGGAAAAUCAAGGCUGAGGCGUGAUGACGAGGCACUACGGUGCUGAAGCAACAAAUGCCCUGCUUCCAGGAAAAGCCUCUAAGCAUCAGGUAACAUCAAAUCGUACCCCAAACCGACACAGGUGGUCAGGUAGAGAAUACCAAGGCGCUUGAGAGAACUCGGGUGAAGGAACUAGGCAAAAUGGUGCCGUAACUUCGGGAGAAGGCACGCUGAUAUGUAGGUGAAGCGACUUGCUCGUGGAGCUGAAAUCAGUCGAAGAUACCAGCUGGCUGCAACUGUUUAUUAAAAACACAGCACUGUGCAAACACGAAAGUGGACGUAUACGGUGUGACGCCUGCCCGGUGCCGGAAGGUUAAUUGAUGGGGUUAGCGGUAACGCGAAGCUCUUGAUCGAAGCCCCGGUAAACGGCGGCCGUAACUAUAACGGUCCUAAGGUAGCGAAAUUCCUUGUCGGGUAAGUUCCGACCUGCACGAAUGGCGUAAUGAUGGCCAGGCUGUCUCCACCCGAGACUCAGUGAAAUUGAACUCGCUGUGAAGAUGCAGUGUACCCGCGGCAAGACGGAAAGACCCCGUGAACCUUUACUAUAGCUUGACACUGAACAUUGAGCCUUGAUGUGUAGGAUAGGUGGGAGGCUUAGAAGUGUGGACGCCAGUCUGCAUGGAGCCGACCUUGAAAUACCACCCUUUAAUGUUUGAUGUUCUAACGUUGGCCCCUGAUCGGGGUUGCGGACAGUGUCUGGUGGGUAGUUUGACUGGGGCGGUCUCCUCCUAAAGAGUAACGGAGGAGCACGAAGGUUGGCUAAUCCUGGUCGGACAUCAGGAGGUUAGUGCAAUGGCAUAAGCCAGCUUGACUGCGAGCGUGACGGCGCGAGCAGGUGCGAAAGCAGGUCAUAGUGAUCCGGUGGUUCUGAAUGGAAGGGCCAUCGCUCAACGGAUAAAAGGUACUCCGGGGAUAACAGGCUGAUACCGCCCAAGAGUUCAUAUCGACGGCGGUGUUUGGCACCUCGAUGUCGGCUCAUCACAUCCUGGGGCUGAAGUAGGUCCCAAGGGUAUGGCUGUUCGCCAUUUAAAGUGGUACGCGAGCUGGGUUUAGAACGUCGUGAGACAGUUCGGUCCCUAUCUGCCGUGGGCGCUGGAGAACUGAGGGGGGCUGCUCCUAGUACGAGAGGACCGGAGUGGACGCAUCACUGGUGUUCGGGUUGUCAUGCCAAUGGCACUGCCCGGUAGCUAAAUGCGGAAGAGAUAAGUGCUGAAAGCAUCUAAGCACGAAACUUGCCCCGAGAUGAGUUCUCCCUGACUCCUUGAGAGUCCUGAAGGAACGUUGAAGACGACGACGUUGAUAGGCCGGGUGUGUAAGCGCAGCGAUGCGUUGAGCUAACCGGUACUAAUGAACCGUGAGGCUUAACCUUACAACGCCGAAG
rnacentral:rRNA from 1 species